CCACAGAGAAGUAUGCUGAACCCCAAGAGAAGAGGCACAAUGUUAAUCUCCAUGGAAGAACAGGAUGCCUGAAGAACUCUUCGCUUGGCUGAGUUGGAUGAAACAAAGAUCUUAGACUCUCAGAGGCCGUCUUCGCUGUAUUAUGGAGGAGCUUCUCCCUAAGAGACAAGCCUUAGCCAAUUCUCUUAAAAAGACCAUCUGGGCGGUCAAGAGCUGAAUGCCGCUUGGUUUUCCCUUCUCCUUGCUUUGACUGGGACCCAAAAUAUGACAAUCGUUCUGAUUCAAGGUAGGGGGGCGUUCCUCAUUCCCGGAUGUCCUCCCAAAGGCAGAUACCCAUGCCCUUACCCGCGGCGCGUGAAUACGAAGGGAGGCACUGCUCGGGCUCGAGACCGCACCAAAGAUUGCUCAGCGCCUGCCGCCUCUGGGCCGCCGCCCCCCGUAGUGGAGGCAAAGGGCCAGAGGCCCCGAGCUUUGGAGCCGCUGGCGCCCAUGUCAGCGCCG
rnacentral:lncRNA from 1 species